GACGAACGCUGGCGGCGUGCUUAACACAUGCAAGUCGAACGGAAAGGUCCUGCUUUUGUUGGGUGCUCGAGUGGCGAACGGGUGAGUAACACGUGAGUAACCUGCCCUUGACUUUGGGAUAACUUCAGGAAACUGGGGCUAAUAACGGAUAGGAGCUCCUGCUGCAUGGUGGGGGUUGGAAAGUUUCGGCGGUUGGGGAUGGACUCGCGGCUUAUCAGCUUGUUGGUGGGGUAGUGGCUUACCAAGGCUUUGACGGGUAGCCGGCCUGAGAGGGUGACCGGCCACAUUGGAACUGAGAUACGGCCCAGCCUCCUACGGGAGGCAGCAGUGGGGAAUAUUGCACAAUGGGCGGAAGCCUGAUGCAGCCCCGCCGCGUGCGGGAUGACGGCAUUCGGGUUGUAAACCGCUUUCGCCUGUGACGAAGCGUGAGUGACGGUAAUGGGUAAAGAAGCACCGGCUAACUACGUG
rnacentral:rRNA from 1 species